GUCAUCUAGGCCAGGGUAAGGUCGAGAGAAACGCGGGAUAAACAACCCUUUCAUAUAAUAUCAUCAUGUACACACCCGAAGUAUGUACCGAUAAUACCCCAUCAGGAUCUGAACUGCUCGUGAUAUCAAGUUCCGCUAAGUGGCGCAAUACCACCCGCUUCCCAAGAAUCACUCUAUUCCUAGGUAUCCUAGAGUUCACUCAUAGCCUGGGUAUUGGGCCUUUUACCUCAUGUAACUCCCA
rnacentral:lncRNA from 1 species